GGGCGCUUAGCUCAGUUGGUAGAGCAUCUCGCUUACACCGAGAGGGUCUAAGGUUCGAAUCCUUAAGCGCCCACCA
rnacentral:tRNA from 1 species